rnacentral:rRNA from 1 species
CCUACGGGUGGCAGCAGUGGGGAAUAUUGGACAAUGGGGGGAACCCUGAUCCAGCGACGCCGCGUGAGUGAAGAAGUAUUUCGGUAUGUAAAGCUCUAUCAGCAGGGAAGAAAGAAAUGACGGUACCUGCCUAAGAAGCCCCGGCUAACUACGUGCCAGCAGCCGCGGUAAUACGUAGGGGGCAAGCGUUAUCCGGAUUUACUGGGUGUAAAGGGAGCGUAGACGGGGAUGCAAGUCUGAAGUGAAAGGUGGGGGCACAACCCCCGGACUGCUUUGGAAACUGGAUGGCUGGAGUGCAGGAGAGGUAAGUGGAAUUCCUAGUGUAGCGGUGAAAUGCGUAGAUAUUAGGAGGAACACCAGUGGCGAAGGCGGCUUACUGGACUGUAACUGACGUUGAGGCUCGAAAGCGUGGGGAGCAAACAGGAUUAGAUACCCCUGUAGUC